CAAUAUGAAGGUCAGGCUGAAGACCUUACCCGAUUAGCUGAGAGGUGGUGCAUGGCCGUCGUCAGUUCGUACUGUGAAGCAUCCUGUUAAGUCAGGCAACGAGCGAGACCCACGUCCACAGUUGCCAGCAUACCCUCCGGGGUGAUGGGUACACUGUGGAGACCGCCGCUGCUAAAGCGGAGGAAGGAGUGGGCAACGGUAGGUCAGUAUGCCCCGAAUCUCCCGGGCUACACGCAGGCUACAAUGGUUGGUACAAUGGGCAUCUACCCCGAAAGGGGAAGGAAAUCUCUUAAAGCCAAUCGUAGUUCGGAUUGAGGGCUGCAACUCGCCCUCAUGAAGCUGGAAUCCGUAGUAAUCGCGUUUCAACAGAACGCGGUGAAUACGUCCCUGCUCCUU
rnacentral:rRNA from 1 species